rnacentral:rRNA from 1 species
CCUACGGGUGGCAGCAGUGGGGAAUAUUGCACAAUGGGGGAAACCCUGAUGCAGCGACGCCGCGUGAAGGAAGAAGUAUUUCGGUAUGUAAACUUCUAUCAGCAGGGAAGAAAAUGACGGUACCUGACUAAGAAUCCCCGACUAACUACGUGCCAGCAGCCGCGGUAAUACGUAGGGGGCAAGCGUUAUCCGGAUUUACUGGGUGUAAAGGGAGCGUAGGCGGUGCAGCAAGUCAGAAGUGAAAUCCCGGGGCUCAACCUCGGAACUGCUUUUCAAACUGUUGAACUAGAUUGCAGGAGGGGUAAGUGGAAUUCCUAGUGUAGCGGUGAAAUGCGUAGAUAUUAGGAGGAACACCAGUGGCGAAGGCGGGUUGCUAGACUGUAAAGGACGCUGAGGCUCGAAAGCGUGGGGAGCAAACAGGAUUAGAGACCCCAGUAGUC